rnacentral:pre_miRNA from 1 species
GGUUAGUGCGCUUAGCGAAUUCAUAGGCUCUAUCUUGUGGUAUGAACUGAGAACGCGAUGAUUUGCAGUGCGUAUUAGGGGCUUACCAUAAGAUAAUGCCGUGAAUUCGCUAAGCAUUCUAAUC